UACGUAGGGGGCAAGCGUUGUCCGGAAUCAUUGGGCGUAAAGAGCGUGUAGGCGGUCAGGUAGGUCCGUUGUGAAAACUCGAGGCUCAACCUCGAGACGCCGAUGGAAACCAUCUGGCUAGAGUCCGGAAGAGGAGAGUGGAAUUCCUGGUGUAGCGGUGAAAUGCGCAGAUAUCAGGAAGAACACCCGUGGCUAAGGCGGCUCUCUAGUACGGUACUGACGCUGAGACGCGAAAGCGUGGGGAGCGAACAGG
rnacentral:rRNA from 1 species